AGGCCAGUAGCUCAAUUGGCAGAGCACUCGUCUCCAACACGAGGGGUUGUGGGUUCAAUUCCUACCUGGCCUG
rnacentral:tRNA from 1 species